rnacentral:rRNA from 1 species
CCUACGGGAGGCAGCAGUGGGGAAUAUUGGGCAAUGGGCGCAAGCCUGACCCAGCAACGCCGCGUGAAGGAAGAAGGCUUUCGGGUUGUAAACUUCUUUUAUCAGGGACGAAGCAAGUGACGGUACCUGAUGAAUAAGCCACGGCUAACUACGUGCCAGCAGCCGCGGUAAUACGUAGGUGGCAAGCGUAAUCCGGAUUCACUGGAUGUAAAGGGCGUGUAGGCGGGAGUGCAAGUCAGAUGUGAAAACUAUGGGCUUAACCCAUAGCCUGAAUUUGAAACUGUACUGCUUGAGUUCUGGAGAGGCAAGCGGAAUUCGGUGUGUAGCGGUGAAAUGCGUAGAUAUAAGGAGGAACACCAGUGGCGAAGGCGGAUUGCUGGACAGUGACUGACGCUGAGGCGCGAAAGCGUGGGGAGCAAACAGGAUUAGAUACCCUAGUAGUC